rnacentral:lncRNA from 10 species
GGGGCCAGCUAGCAGGCGUCGUGGCGGGGCCGCGCUUUUGGGCCGCGAGCUUGAGGUCCCGCUUCUCGACGGAUUCCUUCUGGCUCCGCGAAGGAACUUGCGUCCCUUCUCUAAGUCUUCGGAUAAAACCAAGACCUAGGCCUACAGAUGUAUGGGAGCAGGGCCAGGGAGAGAGAGACUUCGUUUUUCCCAUUCAUUCAUGCAUCCGACCAACACUGACUGAGCCUGCGUCGGGCGCGGUGCCUGGCUGGCGGUCCCAGGGUCACUAAGACGCAACCCGGCGCUGGAGGUGCUUGCGUCGAGCAGGGCCGGCACAGGAUUGCCAGUCGUGGCUGUCCUGUGCGGUGGAGCCACAGGGCUGUCGCGUCGUCCCUGUGCGUGGGUGGCCCAGUGUGUUGGAUAUGACCUGAGAGAUGACAGAUGUGAGAUGACACGACAGGGAGAUCUGAGGAGGUCCCCAGAGAACUGGGAACUGCGUGUCACCAGUCUAGAGAUUCGGAGACAGUUGGAUCUAUGGACCCAUGUCUUCCUUUUUCUUGUCGAACUCCCUUCUUUCACAGGAGCACACCAUUUUUAGUGGUUUCUUAAGAUGAGUACACUAGCUAAAAAGUUUAUGAGCCCUCAAAUACCUGAGUAUUUAUUCAACCCUCAAAUUUAAAUUCUGGCUUGUAUGGAAUUCUAGAUUGAAAAGAAUUUCUCCCCAGCAUUUUGAAGGCAGGCUUCAUUGUCUUCAGUUUUUCAGUGUGGUGAGAAGUGAUGCGUCAUUUUUUUCUCUCUGAAAGAUUUUAGGAUCUUCUCUUUAAAGUUCAGAAAUUUCAUGACGAUGGUACCUUGAAUUUAAGGAAAUUUCCCAGAACGAAGGAGCUUGAUGUUCCAAGUUGAAAGGGCCCACUUAAUGCCUGGCACUUUGGUGAAUGGGAAAAUGCCCGGACCAAGUCACCCCUAACCUACUAACAGGGUUUUCAGCAAUGGACAUGUUUCAAGACCUCACAGACGAGACUGGAGGCAGGCAAUUUCAGGGCUGGAACAGGGACUCUGAUCUCAUGAGGAAUCUUUGCAUCCUGUAUCAGGGUAGAUGUUGCACUUCUAGGUAUCCCAGCAGUCCUCAAAGGCAAGAGAUGGUGGUGGACAAGGAAGCCUCCCCCCAUGUCUCUUAUCAGACUCCAAAGGCCUUUCCAGAAACCUCCAGUAGAUUUCUGCCUGUCAUUGGUUAGGACUAGGGACUCCAUUUCAGUUAGGCUGGGAGAGCACAUGCCUGCCAAAAGCAAAUGGGAUUGUCACGAUUACCUUGGCCUAAUGAUGGGUUGUGUAUUUUGUGGCCUGGGC